UGCCCACAACCAAGAUACAUGCCUUUGACCGGAACCAAACCCUGGACCUUUCAGUCCACAGGCCGACGCUCUAUUCACUGAGCUAAACCGGUCUCAGCUGAGACAAGCUUUUUAAUUUCUGUGUUCUACUUACUGUCUGUAGUAGUUAAUAAGCAGAUUCGGAUUCUAUCCGCAUCAGGAGGUGAACAAUUUUCUGGUCAUCUCAAACUUUCUCUGCCUAGGGGAGAAUGACAUGCAGAAAUUAGCACCUCAGUUUAGGCCAGAUUUGCAUUGCUGCGUUAUUUUCCCUGCCCUCAUAAUAAGCCUGAUGCUAUCAGUUUUAGCAGAGUUUCAGAUCACUACAAAGAGUGGCUAGCUGCCAAGACCGGUUUGGCUCAGUGGGUAGAACGUCAGCCUAUGGACUGAAAGUUCUCAGGUUCGAUUCUGGUCAAGGGCAUGUACUUUGGUUGCGGGCACAUCCACAAUAGGGGGUGUGCAGGAGGCAGCUGAUUGAUGUUUCUCUCUCAUCGAUGUUUCUAGCUUUCUUUCCCUCUUUCCUCUCUGUAAAAAAUCAAAAUAUGCCCCUUGAUAGCAUUCCACAAAACCACUAAUUUACAUUCUACAAUAUCUAAAAUAGAUAACUGCAAUUUCUGAACUUUAUCUUAUGGGAAUCUGAGUUUUUUUCCUGCUCUUUACGUUGUAUAAAUGUUUAGAGGUUUAUUAUUGAUAUAUUAGUAGCUCAUCUUUUUUUGUGUGGAGAAAUGUAGCAUGCUUUAGUCAUUUGAUAGGCUCAUUUCUAAUGUUUACUUUAUUUAAAUUGCUACCGACAUGUUCCUAGAACUCUUUAUGGGGAUGUGUUUCAUUUACCCUUGUCAGUAACUCUACAUAGUUUUCAGUUGUUGGGUAGAUGAAUGUUUAACUUAGAGAUAUUUGCAAUUAAUGAUUGACACUGAUUGGCCUGCGUGCAUUUUCCAGCAGCGUAUGAGGGAUUCAGUUCCUCCUCGUAUUAGAGAAUCCUUAGUUUGGUCAAUCAUUUUUUAUUUAGACAUUUUUUAAAACUUUGUCAUGGUAACUCACUAUUUGAUUGCUUUCUCCUAAGGAUUAAUGGCAGACCUUCCCGGGGUGUGUUCUUGCUACCUUUGUAUCUCUGUUAAAAUGUUUGGUCCUGGGUUCUGCCUACUCUGCUUUGCGUUUUGUCUGUUUUAACAAAAGGAGAGUGAAACAACCAAGAUGGAAGUUGGGAUUUCAUGUGGUGCCUUUCUGGCUUUAUGGAAUAAAGGUUUUUUGGUUUCGAAUGA